rnacentral:rRNA from 1 species
CGAGGAGGUAGGGCUUACGCUCGCGUUUGUCUGUUAUAUCUUGGUGGACGAGUUGUCGCGGUUGGGACUGAGGUGCCUACAACGUGCUUUUGAGUGAGUUUGUGUCUCCGUGUGCGCCGUGUGCGGAUAGCUUGCUAUGUAUGUGUGGUUGUGUGUGGAUUGAUGCGGGCCUUAACUUGUUGCCGUUCGGGACGUUGACGAAAUGGAGCGAUCCGACCCGUCUUGAAACACGGACCAAGGAGUCUAACAUGUGUGCAAGUGUUAGGGUGUGGAAACCCCAGCGCGAAAUGAAAGUGAAGGGCAGCGCAAGUUGUCUGAGGUAGGAAACGUUGCGGGCUUCGGUCUGCGGCGUGGCACUAUCGACCGAUCAUGAACCUUCGUGGUGAAAGAUUUGAGUUUGAGCACAUAUGUUGGUACCCGAAAGAUGGUGAACUAUGCCUGAGUAGGGUGAAGCCAGGGGAAACUCUGGUGGAAGCUCGUAGCGAUUCUGACGUGCAAAUCGAUCGUCAAACUUGGGUAUAGGGGCGAAAGACUAAUCGAACCAUCUAGUAGCUGGUUCCCUCCGAAAUUUCCCUCAGGAUAGCAGCAACUUAUUUACGAUAGUUUUAUGAGGUAAAGCGAAUGAUUAGAGGAUUCGGGGAAGAAACUUCCUCGACCUAUUCUCAAACUUUAAAUCUGUAAGACCUGCAGGUUUCUUAAU